rnacentral:rRNA from 1 species
UAGAGUUUGAUCCUGGCUCAGAACGAACGCUGGCGGCAGGCCUAACACAUGUAAGUCGAGCGAGAUCUUCGGAUCUAGCGGCGGACGGGUGAGUAACGCGUGGGAACGUGCCCUUCUCUACGGAAUAGCCCUGGGAAACUGGGAGUAAUAUCGUAUACGCCCUUUGGGGGAAAGAUUUAUCGGAGAAGGAUCGGCCCGCGUUGGAUUAGGUAGUUGGUGGGGUAAUGGCCUACCAAGCCUACGAUCCAUAGCUGGUUUGAGAGGAUGAUCAGCCACACUGGGACUGAGACACGGCCCAGACUCCUACGGGAGGCAGCAGUGGGGAAUCUUAGACAAUGGGGGCAACCCUGAUCUAGCCAUGCCGCGUGAGUGAUGAAGGCCUUAGGGUUGUAAAGCUCUUUCAUCUGGGAAGAUAAUGACGGUACCAGCAGAAGAAGCCCCGGCUAACUCCGUGCCAGCAGCCGCGGUAA